ensembl:snRNA U6 U6 spliceosomal RNA
AUUUUUAUAUAGGAUGAAAUUAUCUUUGGCACCAUAAAUAUACAGAGAAGAUUAGCGUGGCCACCGCACAAGGAUGGCACACAAAUUCCUGAAGCGAAUUGGUUAGAU